CAGUAUGACAGACAACCCCCCCACCCCCAGUAUAUAGUGGGAGCCAGGCAUUAGGGUAGGAAGCGAGGUGCUAGGUAUGAGGAAGCCAACAGCCCCAGUCCUCUGCCUGACUUGUAGAUGGAGAGCAACUCUGGGCAGAGGUCUUGAAGGCUGGGGCUGUGUUGGACAGCAACCAUACAGUGGGUGUCCUGGCCAGCACCCAUCACCCUGAAGGUCCCUCAGAGGCCUGGAGAACCACUGUCCUGAUCUACACUAGUGAUGACACCCACAUACACCCUAACGACAGUAUCCCUGUUAUUCUUCAUCUGCGUGGAGUACCUCCUGGCUUGGGACCCAGUGGCUGAGGCACCGCGCCCAUUUCCUGCUAGGGGCCGCCUGACCCUGUACCGUAAACUUCCAGUGCCAUCUCUCAUGCUGGUUCAUUUAUGCGCACGCCCCUUGGAGCCACCAGGGCAGGCAAGUCAGCCGGCUCCGUGCACUGCCCCUGACACGUGGGCAGCUGGUUCUGGUCUGGUCGGAUGAGCAUGUGGGCUCCAAGUGCCUGUGGACAUAUGAGAUCCAGUUUUCCCAGAAGGGUGAAGUAUAUGCCCCAAUCAACAGGAGGCCGUCUACUUUUAACCUAUUUGUGUUCAGCCCCGACACAGCUGUGGUCUCUGGCUUCUACCGAGUGCGAGCAGUGGACUACUGGGCCCGGCCGGGCCCCUUCUCCGACCCUGUGACUUACCUGGAUACCCCUGCCUCCUGAAAACC
rnacentral:lncRNA from 1 species